AUGAGAUGGCCUUUGUCCUGGAGGGAAGCUCUGGGCAGGAUCCGUCCUGCCGAGGACCUAGUGUGAUGGGCCUGAGACCUGUGUUCGGACCUGGCUUCUCCUUCAUCAUUGCCAUCUCCCACUCCCCAGGAUCGAUGUGCUGGGCUCUGGACCCCCUUCAAACCAGAGGCGCUACCGGAACUGGAACCCACCCCUGCUGGGCAACCUCCCCGAUGACUUUCUCCGCAUCCUGCCCCAGCAGCUGGACAGCAUACAGGGUAAUCCUGGGGUUCCCAAGCCUGUGAGUGGAGAGGGAGGCCCGCCUCCCACGGCCGGGCAGGGGACCCGUGACCAGGAGAGCCGCUGGAAGCAGUACCUGGAGGAUGAGAGGAUCGCGCUCUUCCUGCAGAAUGAGGAGUUCAUGAAGGAGCUGCAGCGCAACCGCGACUUCCUCCUUGCCCUGGAGAGAGAUCGAUUGAAAUAUGAGUCCCAGAAAUCCAAAUCCAGCAGCGUGGCUGUCGGAAACGGCUUUGGCUUUCCUUGUCCUGUG